rnacentral:rRNA from 1 species
GCCUGUGACCCAAUCAACUGGAAUGCGCCUGAUCUCAUCAGAUUUCGGAAGCUUGGCAGGCUACGCCUGGAUAAUGCUUGGAUGGGCAACCGCUGUGGAUAACAGGUGUCAUAAGCG